rnacentral:rRNA from 1 species
CAACAGGGAUUGCCCCAGUAACGGCGAGUGAAGCGGCAUGAGCUCAAAUUUGAAAUCUGGUGCCCCCCCAAGGGGGAACCUGAGUUGUAAUUUGGAGAGGAUGUUUCGGGCAACGGGUCGGCCUAAUUCACUUGGAACAGUGGGUCAGAGAGGGUGAGAAUCCCGUCUGGGGCCGUCCCCCGGCGCCCGUGUGAAGCUCCUUCGACGAGUCGAGUUGUUUGGGAAUGCAGCUCUAAAUGGGUGGUAAAUUUCAUCUAAAGCUAAAUACCGGCCAGAGACCGAUAGCGCACAAGUAGAGUGAUCGAAAGAUGAAAAGCACUUUGGAAAGAGAGUUAAACAGCAUGUGAAAUUGUUGAAAGGGAAGCGUUUGCGACCAGACGUGCAGGCGGUGGCUCCCCCGGUCCUCCCUGGAUCGGGAUAUUCCUACCGCCUCCAGGCCAGCAUCGGCCCGGACGACCGGUUAAAUACCCCGGGAAUGUAUCUACCUUUGGGUCGACUUAUAGCCCGGGGUCCAAUACGGCCUGCCCGGGCCGAGGAACGCACUUCGGUUCGGAUGUUGGUGUAAUGGUCGCAAACGGCCCGUCUUGAAACACGGACCAAGGAGUCUAACAUCUAUGCGAGUGUUUGGGUGUUAAACCCCGACGCGGAAUGAAAGUGAACGGUGGUAAGAGCCUCCCCUACGGGGGGGCGCAUUAUCGACCGAUCCUGAUGUCUUCGGAUGGAUUUGAGUAAGAGCAUAGCUGUUGGGACCCGAAAGAUGAUGAACUAUGCCUGGAUAGGGUGAAGCCAGAGGAAACUCUGGUGGAGGCUCGCAGCGGUUCUGACGUGCAAAUCGAUCGUCAAAUUUGGGCAUAGGGGCGAAAGACUAUCGAUC